UCAAACUCGGAAAUCCGCUUGC
rnacentral:misc_RNA from 1 species